UUACAACGCCAGUUGAAAGGAGAAACUGAAGCUGGUUCAAGUAAGCUUCGGAAACUCGUUCAUACUGUGAAAAAUGCCAUCAAUCCAGGAGCAGUGACUUUCAAUUCAACGAUGGUGUCCAAGAUGAAGGAGAUCACUACCAGAUUUCAGAAGAUCGUAGACCAGCAAAACCACUUGGAUUUGAUAAACAGAAAUGUUGG
rnacentral:misc_RNA from 1 species